rnacentral:lncRNA from 1 species
CUUUCCAUGUGAUGGAUGCUCCCAAGAAAUCAACGAAAUGGACAGCGUUAUCUUUGGUGUACAGAUGAAAACAAUGCAGCUAAGAGAAAACAAUACAACUAAGAGUGAGAAGCUCAAAGUCUCCCAGCCUAGAGAAAGUUUAAAUUCAGAUUUAGAGGACUGCAAAGUUCGCGAGCCUCCUGGGAGAUUUCAUGCUGGACUCCCAGAGGCCACUCCCAGCGACUCUGAACCUCGCUGGUGUCAUCUUUCCUGUGGGCUCACCUGGGGCCAGCCUGUCAGCCACCUGGCCCUCAGUCAGCAGUCUUUAUUGAGAGGAGACCACACUGUGUACAGAGGCCUGCCCCAGUCCUUGGAAGUGGAAGUCACAGGUGGGGUGUUAGGAGGGAGGAGCCAUGAUUGCUGGACUGGGAAAUAGAAGUUCCGGCAUUUUAUUUCCAAGCAAGUUUUCUCAUGGACAUUAUUCAAGAUCCUUUCCAUUCUGAAGAGUAUCAGAGACUGGGGUGGUAAAAGUAGGGUGUUCCUUGAUGUUUUUUUUUUCCAAGAUGGAUAGUUCUAUCUCUGAAGUAAGAUGGAUCUCUGAAGACAACAGGAAAUGCUCAGUCAGUGCCCUGUCCAGAAUCUUCAAAGGCCAAUGCGUAUAUUCUAGGUGGAGUUGAGUGUGCAAGCUGACUCACCAUAGCAACCCGUUCUACUCUCUGGACCAGCACACUGUCCUGCCUCUGCACAGAGAGCCAGUCAUCUACAUAUUGGUGAUGUCAUCCAUCAGGAAAACACAGCAUGGAAUGGAGCCUCGGUGGAUGAAGAAGGGCCUUUUAGAUCUCACUGCAUGGGUCCUAGCUCAAAUAGCUAGCAGUAGAUAUUAGUUACAAUGGUCAGCAUAGACUUUCACUGAAUAGCUCAAGCCCCAUUCCUAAUGGCCCAUGUAUUGCCUAACCCAACAACACUCACUUUUCCUGGGUUUGCAGCCCAUGCAGGGGUUUUCACAGUGGGAGAAUUUCCAUGCUCUUUCAUAAGUAGAAGCCCAUUCCUAUUCUUUAAAUCUUCAGUCACAGCCCUAAAAGAAGGACCAGAAAAUGGCAGUCAAAGGGUGGGAAGAUGCCUGGAAUAGCGCAUCUUGAUGAAUUGGCUCUCUCUGCCUAUCAGACAGAGGGUGCUUUGCUGUGUCAUUGUCCCAACCAGUGUAAAUGAUAGACAGGUUGACAUCUGUCCCAUUAUUUCCUGAGUCAGAGAUACUUAGAGACAAUUGAGUGGGUCUGAAUGCUCUUAGUGCAGGGUGAUAUGGAGGAAGGAACCAUGGACUUUUUUAAAAUGAGUAUUAGUUAUUUUAGUUUGCAACAUCUGCG